rnacentral:rRNA from 1 species
CAGGGAUUGCCUCAGUAACGGCGAGUGAAGCGGCAAAAGCUCAAAUUUGAAAUCCCCCCGGGGAGUUGUAAUUUGAAGAUUGCGUCUUGGAGGCGACCGUGUCUAUGUUCCUUGGAACAGGACGUCACAGAGGGUGAGAAUCCCGUGCGGCACGGCCCCCGGCUCCUUAUAAGGCGCUCUCGACGAGUCGAGUUGUUUGGGAAUGCAGCUCAAAGUGGGUGGUAAAUUCCAUCUAAAGCUAAAUACAGGCGAGAGACCGAUAGCGAACAAGUACAGUGAUGGAAAGAUGAAAAGCACUUUGAAAAGAGAGUGAAACAGCACGUGAAAUUGUUGAAAGGGAAGGGCAUGCCGUCAGAUUGUCAGUGUGGGUAAGAAGCGGGGUACAAAGACUGUGGAACGUGGCCCUCGGGUGUUAUAGCCGCAGUUCAUGCCCCGUCUCUUCCGAGGCCUGCUUUGAGGA